GUUGUUUGUGGUCAAGGGCGUACGGUGGAUGCCUUGGCAUGCUGAGCCGAUGAAGGACGUGUGAGGCUGCGUUAAGCCUCGGGGAGUUGCCAACUAAGCGUUGAUCCGAGGAUGUCCGAAUGGGGAAACCUGGCACCAGUUAUGUGGUGUUACCUGCAGGUGAAUCUAUAGCCUGUAUGGGGGUGAACGCGGGGAAGUGAAACAUCUCAGUACCCGCAGGAGAAGAAAACAAUUGUGAUUCCGUUAGUAGUGGCGAGCGAACGCGGAUGAGGCUAAACCAUGUGUGUGUGAUACCUGGCAGGGGUUGCGCAUGUGGGGUUGUGGGGCGCAUCGUAAGUUAUCUGCUAGUGACUUGCUUGAUGUGGUUGUGUCAGCGGAAGCGCCUGGGAUGGUGCACCGGAGAAGGUGAUGAGUCCUGUACGCGAAGACAUAGCUGCGUUGGGUGUAUGUGUUUUCCCCGAGUAGCAGCGGGCCCGUGAAAUCUGCUGUGAAUCUGCCGGGACCACCCGGUAAGCCUAAAUACUCAGUGUGACCGAUAGUGGAUAGUACCGUGAGGGAAUGGUGAAAAGUACCCCGGGAGGGGAGUGAAAGAGUUCCUGAAACCGUGCGCUUACAAUCCGUCAGAGCACCUCAAUGUGUGUGAUGGCGUGCCUUUUGAAGAAUGAGCCUGCGAGUCAGCGGCAUGUCGCGAGGUUAACCCAGUCUGUGGGGUAGUCGUAGCGAAAGCGAAUCCGAAAUGGGUGUGUAGUGGCAUGUCCUGGACCCGAAGCGGGGUGAUCUACCCAUGGCCAGUGUGAAGCAGCUGUAAGAGGUUGUGGAGGCGCGAACCCACUUAGGUUGAAAACUGAGGGGAUGAGCUGUGGGUAGGGGUGAAAGGCCAAUCAAACUCCGUGAUAGCUGGUUCUCCCCGAAAUGCAUUUAGGUGCAGCGUUAUACAAGCUUGCUGGAGGUAGAGCUACUGGUUGGUUGAGCGGGACUAUCAUCUUAGCAAUGUCAGCCAAACUCCGAAUGCCGGUUUAAGUGGUGUAUAGCAGUGAGACUGUGGGGGAUAAGCUUCAUAGUCGAGAGGGAAACAGCCCAGAUCGCCGGUUAAGGCCCCUAAGGGUGUACUAAGUGGAAAAGGAUGUAGGAUCGCGAAGACAGCCAGGAGGUUGGCUUAGAAGCAGCCAUCCUUGAAAGAGUGCGUAAUAGCUCACUGGUCGAGUGGUUCCGCGCCGACAAUUCAGUGGGGCUCAAGUACACCGCCGAAGCCGCGGCAUAGUUUUUACUAUGGGUAGGGGAGCGUCGUGUGUGGGGUGAAGCAUUACCGUAAGGGGGUGUGGACUGCACGCGAGUGAGAAUGCAGGCAUGAGUAACGAAUGA
rnacentral:rRNA from 1 species